AAUUCCUUGUCGGGUAAGUUCCGACCUGCACGAAUGGUGUAACGAUCUGGGCACUGUCUCAGCCAUGAGCUCGGUGAAAUUGUAGUCUCGGUGAAGAUGCCGGGUACUCGCAACGGGACGGAAAGACCCCGUGAACCUUUACUAUAGCUUAACAUUGACUUUGGGUAAUUGAUGUGUAGGAUAGGUGGAAGACUAUGAAGUGGCCUCGCUAGGGGUUGUGGAGUCGUCCUUGAAAUACCACCCUUUAAUUGCUUGAAGUCUAACCCCGCUUGCGGGGAACAAUGUUUGGUGGGUAGUUUGACUGGGGUGGUCGCCUCCAAAAGAGUAACGGAGGCUUCUAAAGGUUUCCUCAGCACGCUUGGUAACCGUGCGUAGAGUGCAAUAGCAUAAGGAAGCUUGACUGUGAGACUGACAAGUCGAGCAGGGACG
rnacentral:rRNA from 13 species